UUCAUCAAUAUACAGAAGAGGUACUCUAUAAGAAUUUCUUACACAUAGCUCAGGAACAAGGAAACCUAAUCAACAUGUAUAAUUGUAAAUCUAACUAGGAAUAUAAAAACAGUAAAAAUGAAUUCAACUUCUAAUAUCAUCUUCGUUCAACAGGAAAUUCAGAUCCUUUACAUGUUCAGAGAGAAAUCUUCAAGCAUGAGAUAAGGAAAAUACCUUAUUACAGCUGUAAACAAGGAAGCUUAUGAGCUUAGGUAACAACAUAGCAGUAAAUCAAAUAGCAGAAUUCAACAGCAGCAGAUAAAGCCAGCAGCAAUAUGUGAACCCAGAAAUGAACAAAGGAAAUAAAUUUUGGAAUAAUUUUUGAACAAGUAACAAUGUUAAAUAACCCCAGCAAUCAAACACCAACCAAAAACUUUCCGAAAUACUUGACUACCAACAGCAUUCAACUCAUUUUAACUUCUGAAUAUUCAAAGCUUGUUUCAACAUAUGAAAACCUCAAAGAUGCCAGGAAAGCUUUAAUAGAACAAUAUUUUAUGCAGGGUUUACUGCUCUCUCUUUUUUUAAUAUUUUUUCUAGGAUUCUAGCUUUCCAUUUCUGUAUGCUCUCAAGUUUUUAAUUCUCAAAAAUUCUCUACAAAUCUGAUCUUUCUCUUUUUUUAAGCCUGGAAGUAAUGCCUUUAUAGGCAAGUAAGUAGGGCAAAUUUAAGAUUUUAUUUUAGUAUUAGGUCCUCUUUUAAUUUUUUGUUUUAGCUUAGGAACCCUUAAAACUGUUACUUGCAACCCAAGUCAACCUAUCCAAAAGCUGAAAAUGAAAUUAACCCCCACACUAGAAGCUUCUAAAUUUGUUAUGAAAAGACCUAACCUAGAGUUCCUAAGCUACCCCUGUAAUUUACCCUCUAGUUUUCGAUGGACAAUUAAACCUUUU
rnacentral:lncRNA from 1 species